GCCCCUGAUCGCCAGUCAGGCACUUUCCCUCCGUGAGGCGGCGGGCCAGGUGCGUGUGCGCUCCCGCUCCAAGCUCGGGGUAUCAGGAGGCCACGUGUUGGGCCCUCCGGCCGCGGGUCAGAUAACGCGCUACAAUCCCAGGUUUAUUCGUAUUCAAUCCCACGUCUAUUUGGUACUUUCAAUCCAAUUUUACGUCUGCUGAGGGCAAAUAUGGAAGAAUAGGCUAGAGGGAGUGCUGAGAUGGAAGGCAAUGAUUUUGUUUACAAUGCUGAAAGCCACACAUCAGAGAAGACCUGUUGGACAAUGUGGUGCACGGAUAGUUGUAUUUGAAAAGGAUGCAGUCCCAAUCUCGGUAAGGCAUUUGUGAGGAAAGGUUGCCUAAUCUCCUAUGAAGAUGUUGGAAAUACAUGUGAAAUGAAUAAUCGAUGGGUGAUACUGGAAACCAUUGAUGUCAAAACAGCGUGAUAUGCAAGGAUAAUGAGAUGCAAUGGAAUGCAGAACCGGCCAUUUGUAAACAAGACUACCACACACUGUUCUCAGAUGUAACAUGCAUCAGAUAAUUUCCAUAAACACCAGUCAGUGUAAUUGGAUUGAAAGUCUCAUCCCAGAGGAGACACACACAGGAUGGACCCAUUCAUCUUUGAUGGUAUGCUGAUGGCUGGCAUUUUGUAGCUGAUCAAGAAGAAAGCCCACGUGAAGAACUGAGGCCGUUCUGGAAUGUGUCUGAUGUGGAAAUUCUUGAAAUAAAGGCCUUCUGGCAA